rnacentral:rRNA from 1 species
CUACGUGCCAGCAGCCGCGGUAAUACGUAUGUCACAAGCGUUAUCCGGAUUUAUUGGGCGUAAAGCGCGUCUAGGUGGUUAUGUAAGUCUGAUGUGAAAAUGCAGGGCUCAACUCUGUAUUGCGUUGGAAACUGCAUGACUAGAGUACUGGAGAGGUAAGCGGAACUACAAGUGUAGAGGUGAAAUUCGUAGAUAUUUGUAGGAAUGCCGAUGGGGAAGCCAGCUUACUGGACAGAUACUGACGCUAAAGCGCGAAAGCGUGGGUAGCAAACAGGAUUAGAUACCCUGGUAGUCCACGCCGUAAACGAUGAGUGCUAGGUGUUAGACCCUUUCCGGGGUUUAGUGCCGCAGCUAACGCAUUAAGCACUCCGCCUGGGGAGUACGACCGCAAGGUUGAAACUCAAAGGAAUUGACGGGGGCCCGCACAAGCGGAGGAACAUGUGGUUUAAUUCGAUGAUACGCGAGGAACCUUACCCGGGAU